GGAGAUAUAGCUCAGUUGUUAGGGUGUUUGUCUACCGCACAGGAAGCCCUAGGUUCAAUCCUUAGUAUCACAU
rnacentral:tRNA from 1 species